ACGGCUACAUCACGUUUAAAGAUCGUUUCCUUUACGAUCACUGAAGUUAAGCAACGUCGAACCUGUUCAGUACUUAGAUGGGUGACCGCUUGGGAAUACCAGCUGCUGUAAG